ensembl:snoRNA SNORD2 small nucleolar RNA SNORD2
GAGUGAAAUGAUGUUCUACCAUCUUUCGGGACUUACUCAGAAAUGGGGACAAGCUUUCUGUUCACUGAUCACUC